AGUGAACGCUGGCGGUAGGCCUAGCACAUGCAAGUCGAACGGCAGCACAGUAAGAGCUUGCUCUUACGGGUGGCGAGUGGCGGACGGGUGAGGAAUACAUCGGAAUCUACUUUUUCGUGGGGGAUAACGUAGGGAAACUUACGCUAAUACCGCAUACGACCUACGGGUGAAAGCAGGGGAUCUUCGGACCUUGCGCGAUUGAAUGAGCCGAUGUCGGAUUAGCUAGUUGGCGGGGUAAAGGCCCACCAAGGCGACGAUCCGUAGCUGGUCUGAGAGGAUGAUCAGCCACACUGGAACUGAGACACGGUCCAGACUCCUACGGGAGGCAGCAGUGGGGAAUAUUGGACAAUGGGCGCAAGCCUGAUCCAGCCAUACCGCGUGGGUGAAGAAGGCCUUCGGGUUGUAAAGCCCUUUUGUUGGGAAAGAAAAGUAGCAGGUUAAUACCCCGCUGUUCUGACGGUACCCAAAGAAUAAGCACCGGCUAACUUCGUG
rnacentral:rRNA from 1 species